UUAGAUAUCUGGAGGUAAAGCACUGAAUAGCCUAGCGGCCGAGAGGUUAGCGAAGCUUAUCAAACUCAGAAUGCCAGAAUAUUGAUGCCUGGGAGUCAGACAGUGUCAGAUAAAUGUCAUUGUCAAAAGGGAAACAGCCCAGAUCUACAGCUAAGGUCCCAAAGUCAGGUUAAGUGGAAAACGAUGUGAAGAUACGCAGACAACCAGGAUGUUGGCUCAGAAGCAGCCACUCAUUCAAAGAGUGCGUAAUAGCUCACUGGUCGAGCGUCUUUGCGCGGAGAAUUUAACGGGGCUAAACCUGGCACCGAAGCUUAGGCAAUCCAGCAAUGGAUUGGGUAGGGGAGCGUUGUAUACGCGGCGAAACAGUAGCGCAAGCGGCUGUGGAGUGUAUAGAAGUGAGAAUGCCGGAAUGAGUAGCGCGAAUGCAGUGAGAAUCUGCAUGGCCGAAAGCCUCAGGUUUCUGGAGGAAGGUUCGUCCGCUCCAGGUUAGUCGGGAGCUAAGGUGAGGCCGAAAGGCGUAGCCGAUGCACAGACGGUAGAGAUUCCGUCACCACCAAAAGAGUUAAGCACAGGGACACAUAAGAAGUCUCAGAGCCGGGUGUUGGUUCCGGUAGAGAUCGAGGGAAAAUAGUACCGAAGUCUGGGAUGGAAGAUGGCGAGAAAAGCUGUGUGGAUUUCUGAGGUGCCCGUACCGCAAACCGACACAGGUAGGUAGGAAGAAGAUUCUAAGGCCAACGGGAGAAGGGUUGUUAAGGAACUCGGCAAAUUGACCCCGUAACUUCGGGAGAAGGGGUGCUCCAGAGAUGGAGCCGCAGAGAAUCGGCCCAAGCAACUGUUUACCAAAAACACAGGUUUGUGCUAAAUCGAAAGAUGACGUAUACGAGCUGACGCCUGCCCGGUGCUGGAAGGUUAAGAGGAGAUGUGCAAGCAUUGAAUCGAAGCCCCAGUGAACGGCGGCCGUAACUAUAACGGUCCUAAGGUAGCGAAAUUCCUUGUCAGGUAAGUUCUGACCCGCAUGAAAGGCGUAAUGAUUUGGGCACUGUCUCAACAGCCCGCCCGGCGAAAUUGUAGUACCGGUGAAGAUGCCGGUUACCCGCGACAAGACGGAAAGACCCCAUGGAGCUUUACUGUAGCCUAAUAUUGGGUUUCGAUGUUGCAUGCACAGGAUAGAUGGGACUCUGGGAAGUGAUCGCUUUGGCGGUCAUGGAGAGGACGUUGGGAUACCAUCCUUGCGAUAUUGGAAUUCUAACCUGCGGCUCUGAAUCGAGUCGGGGGACAUUGUUAGGUGGGCAGUUUGACUGGGGCGGUCGCCUCCUAAAGAGUAACGGAGGCGUUCAAAGGUUCGCUCAGCUUGAACGGAAAUCAAGCAAAAGAGUGCAAACGCAGAAGCGAGCCUAACUGCGAGACUGACGGGUCGAGCAGUAACGAAAGUUGGAGUUAGUGAUCCGGUGGUAUGUGAGUGGAAAUGCCAUCGCUCAACGGAUAAAA
rnacentral:rRNA from 1 species